AGAGUUUGAUCCUGGCUCAGGACGAACGCUGGCGGCGCGCCUAACACAUGCAAGUCGAACGGAGCUGAGAGGAGCUUGCUUUUCUUAGCUUAGUGGCGAACGGGUGAGUAACGCGUGAGUAACCUGCCCUGGAGUGGGGGACAACAGUUGGAAACGACUGCUAAUACCGCAUAAGCCCACGGAUCCGCAUGGAUCUGCGGGAAAAGGAUUUAUUCGCUUCAGGAUGGACUCGCGUCCAAUUAGCUAGUUGGUGAGGUAACGGCCCACCAAGGCGACGAUUGGUAGCCGGACUGAGAGGUUGAACGGCCACAUUGGGACUGAGACACGGCCCAGACUCCUACGGGAGGCAGCAGUGGGGGAUAUUGCACAAUGGGGGAAACCCUGAUGCAGCGACGCCGCGUGGAGGAAGAAGGUUUUCGGAUUGUAAACUCCUGUCGUUAGGGACGAUAAUGACGGUACCUAACAAGAAAGCACCGGCUAACUACGUGCCAGCAGCCGCGGUAAAACGUAGGGUGCAAGCGUUGUCCGGAAUUACUGGGUGUAAAGGGAGCGCAGGCGGACCGGCAAGUUGGAAGUGAAAACUAUGGGCUCAACCCAUAAAUUGCUUUCAAAACUGCUGGCCUUGAGUAGUGCAGAGGUAGGUGGAAUUCCCGGUGUAGCGGUGGAAUGCGUAGAUAUCGGGAGGAACACCAGUGGCGAAGGCGACCUACUGGGCACCAACUGACGCUGAGGCUCGAAAGCAUGGGUAGCAAACAGGAUUAGAUACCCUGGUAGUCCAUGCCGUAAACGAUGAUUACUAGGUGUUGGAGGAUUGACCCCUUCAGUGCCGCAGUUAACACAAUAAGUAAUCCACCUGGGGAGUACGACCGCAAGGUUGAAACUCAAAGGAAUUGACGGGGGCC
rnacentral:rRNA from 1 species